CAGCAGCCACGGGAAUACGAAGGGUGCAAGCGUUAAUCGGAAUUACUGGGCGUAAAGCGUGCGUAGGCGGUGAGUUAAGUCUGCUGUGAAAUCCCCGGGCUCAACCUGGGAAUGGCAGUGGAUACUGGCUCGCUAGAGUGUGUCAGAGGAUGGUGGAAUUCCCGGUGUAGCGGUGAAAUGCGUAGAGAUCGGGAGGAACAUCAGUGGCGGAGGCGGCCAUCUGGGACAACACUGACGCUGAGGCACGAAAGCGUGGGGAGCAAACAGGAUUAGAUACCCGCGUAGUCCCUGUCUCUUAUAC
rnacentral:rRNA from 1 species